CCUAUUAGGUUGGUGCAAAAGUAAUUGCGAAUUUUGCCAUUAAAGUAAUGAUAAAACCACAAUUACUUUUGCAUCAACCUAUAU
rnacentral:miRNA from 1 species